AAAUUGAAGAGUUUGAUCAUGGCUCAGAUUGAACGCUGGCGGCAGGCCUAACACAUGCAAGUCGAACGGUAACAGGAAGCAGCUUGCUGCUUUGCUGACGAGUGGCGGACGGGUGAGUAAUGUCUGGGAAACUGCCUGAUGGAGGGGGAUAACUACUGGAAACGGUGGCUAAUACCGCAUAACGUCGCAAGACCAAAGAGGGGGACCUUCGGGCCUCUUGCCAUCAGAUGUGCCCAGAUGGGAUUAGCUUGUUGGUGAGGUAACGGCUCACCAAGGCGACGAUCCCUAGCUGGUCUGAGAGGAUGACCAGCCACACUGGAACUGAGACACGGUCCAGACUCCUACGGGAGGCAGCAGUGGGGAAUAUUGCACAAUGGGCGCAAGCCUGAUGCAGCCAUGCCGCGUGUAUGAAGAAGGCCUUCGGGUUGUAAAGUACUUUCAGCGGGGAGGAAGGUGUUGUGGUUAAUAACCGCAGCAAUUGACGUUACCCGCAGAAGAAGCACCGGCUAACUCCGUGCCAGCAGCCGCGGUAAUACGGAGGGUGCAAGCGUUAAUCGGAAUUACUGGGCGUAAAGCGCACGCAGGCGGUCUGUCAAGUCGGAUGUGAAAUCCCCGGGCUCAAC
rnacentral:rRNA from 1 species